AAUGAGAUGCCUGACAAAAGGGCUAUUUUGAUAAAAUAGAUCAUGUGGUGACACUCUUAUUA
rnacentral:tRNA from 1 species